rnacentral:misc_RNA from 1 species
UCUCCGUAGGUGAACCUGCGGAGGGAUCAUUACAGAGUUCAUGCCCUACCGGGUAGAUCUCCCACCCUAUGUUAUUAUUACUUUGUUGCUUUGGCGGGCCGUUAGGCCCCGGCCCGACUACCGGCCCCGGCUGGUAAGCGCCCGCCAGAGGACCCAAAACCCUGAAUAUUAGUGUCGUCUGAGUACUAUAUAAUAGUUAAAACUUUCAACAACGGAUCUCUUGGUUCUG